rnacentral:rRNA from 1 species
GACGAAGGAUGCAAGCGUUAUCCGGAUUCAUUGGGUUUAAAGGGAGCGUAGGCGGCCUGCUAAGUCGAACGUGAAAUCCCCGGGCUCAACCCGGGAACUGCGUCCGAUACUGGUGGGCUUGAAUCCGGGAGAGGGAUGUGGAAUUCCAGGUGUAGCGGUGAAAUGCGUAGAUAUCUGGAGGAACACCGGUGGCGAAGGCGGCAUCCUGGACCGGUAUUGACGCUGAGGCGCGAAAGCCAGGGGAGCAAACGGG